CGUAAAGAACCUGCCUCAUAGACUGGGACAACUAUUGAACGAUAGCUAAUACCGGAUAACAGUAUUUCUCGCAUGAGAGAUAUUUAAAAGUUGGUUAUGCUAACACUAUGAGAUGGCUUUGCGGUGCAUUAGCUAGUUGGUGGGGUAAAGGCCUACCAAGGCGACGAUGCAUAGCCGACCUGAGAGGGUGAUCGGCCACACUGGGACUGAGACACGGCCCAG
rnacentral:rRNA from 1 species